rnacentral:rRNA from 1 species
GACGAACGCUGGCGGCGGGCUUAACACAUGCAAGUCGAACGAAGUGGCGAACGGGUGAGUAAUACGUGGGUAACCUGCCCUCCUUUUUGGGAUAAGCCUUGGAAACGGGGUCUAAUACCGAAUAAAGGGGGAUGGGCUCGCGGCCUAUCAGCUUGUUGGUGGGGUGAUGGCCUACCAAGGCGGUGACGGGGAGCCGGCCUGAGAGGGUGACCGGCAAUGUUGGGACUGAGAUACGGCCCAGAGUCCUACCGGUGGCAGCAGUGGGGGAUUUUGCACAAUGGUCGAGCACCUGAUGCAGCUACGCCGCGUGGGGGAUGAAGGCUUUCGGGUUGUACACCUCUUUCGAUGUCGAACGGGUACGUGCAGAAGAAGCGCCGGCUAACUACGUGCCAGCAGCCGCGGUAAUAC